rnacentral:rRNA from 1 species
CAUCUCAGUACCUGUAGGAAAGAAAAUCAAUUGAGACUCCCUGAGUAGUGGCGAGCGAAAGGGGACGAGCCUAAACCGGUCCAGUGUAAGCGUGCAAGCGUUGCUGGAGUGGGGUUGUAGGGGUUUCUGUAGGUGUUUUUUGCACAGACACCGGGAAGUGACAAAGCGCUGUCGUAGGAGAGCCGGGUUGGAAAGCCGGGGCAAAGAGGGUGACACCCCCGUAUCCGAAACGAGAGCGCCUUCCUAUGAGACACCCUGAGUACCGUGGGGCACGUGGAACCCCGCGGGAAUCUGGGAGGACCAUCUUCCAAGGCUAAGUACUACCUGGCGACCGAUAGUGAACUAGUACCGUGAGGGAAAGGUGAAAAGUUCCCCGAGAGGGGAGUGAAAUAGAACCUGAAAACCGUGUGCCUACAAACAGUGGGGAGCCGCAAGGUGACCGCGUACCUUUUGCAUAAUGAGU